rnacentral:rRNA from 1 species
UGGGGAAUUUUGGACAAUGGGCGAAAGCCUGAUCCAGCAAUGCCGCGUGUGUGAAGAAGGCCUUCGGGUUGUAAAGCACUUUUGUCCGGAAAGAAAUCCUUGGCUCUAAUACAGUCGGGGGAUGACGGUACCGGAAGAAUAAGCACCGGCUAACUACGUGCCAGCAGCCGCGGUAAUACGUAGGGUGCAAGCGUUAAUCGGAAUUACUGGGCGUAAAGCGUGCGCAGGCGGUUUGCUAAGACCGAUGUGAAAUCCCCGGGCUCAACCUGGGAACUGCAUUGGUGACUGGCAGGCUAGAGUAUGGCAGAGGGGGGUAGAAUUCCACGUNUAGCAGUGAAAUGCGUAGAGAUGUGGAGGAAUACCGAUGGCGAAGGCAGCCCCCUGGGCAAUACUGACGCUCAUGCGCGAAAGCGUGGGGAGCAAACAGGAUUAGAUACCCUGGUAGUCCACGCCCUAAACGAUGUCAACUAGUUGUUGGGGAUCAUUUCCUUAGUAACGUAGCUAACGCGUGAAGUUGACCGCCUGGGGAGUACGUCGCAAGAUUAAAACUCAAAUGAAUUG